rnacentral:rRNA from 1 species
CCUACGGGCGGCAGCAGUGGGGAAUAUUGCGCAAUGGGCGAAAGCCUGACGCAGCGACGCCGCGUGAGGGAUGAAGGUCUUCGGAUCGUUAACCUCUGUCAGCAGGGAAGAACGGUCACUGUGCUAAUCAGCAGUGAAUUGACGGUACCUGCAACGGAAGCACCGGCUAACACCGUGCCAGCAGCCGCGGUAAUACGGAGGGUGCGAGCGUUAAUCGGAAUUACUGGGCGUAAAGCGCUCGUAGGCGGUAUGUCAAGUCAAGGGUGAAAUCCCCGCGCUCAACGUGGGAACUGCCUUUGAAACUGGCAAACUGGAGUGUGUGAGAGGAUAGUGGAAGUCCAGGUGUAGGAGUGAAAUCCGUAGAUAUCUGGAGGAACAGCAGUGGCGAAGGCGACUAUCUGGCACAUAACUGACGCUGAGGAGCGAAAGCGUGGGUAGCAAACAGGAUUAGAUACCCGAGUAGUC